rnacentral:rRNA from 1 species
AGAGUUUGAUCCUGGCUCAGAUUGAAACGCUGGCGGCAUGCCUAACACAUGCAAGUCGAACGGAAACGAUGGGAGCUUGCUCCCAGGCGUCGAGUGGCGGACGGGUGAGUAAUACAUAGGAAUCUGCCCAGUAGCGGGGGACAACCUGGUGAAAACCAGGCUAAUACCGCAUACGCCCUACGGGGGAAAGCAGGGGAUCUUCGGACCUUGCACUAUUGGAUGAGCCUAUGUCAGAUUAGCUUGUUGGUGGGGUAAUGGCCUACCAAGGCGACGAUCUGUAGCUGGUCUGAGAGGACGAUCAGCCACACUGGGACUGAGACACGGCCCAGACUCCUACGGGAGGCAGCAGUGGGGAAUAUUGCACAAUGGGCGAAAGCCUGAUGCAGCAAUGCCGCGUGUGUGAAGAAGGCCUGCGGGUUGUAAAGCACUUUCAGUGGGGAGGAAACAGUUGCGGGUUAAUAACCCGUGGCCUUGACGUACCCACAGAAGAAGCACCGCUAACU